GGGCCCGCACAAGCAGCGGAGCAUGUGGUUUAAUUCGAAGCAACGCGAAGAACCUUACCCAGACUUGACAUUUGAUGAAUUACCUGUAAAAAGGGAAGCCCUUCGGGGCAUCAGAACAGGUGGUGCAUGGUUGUCGUCAGCUCGUGUCGUGAGAUGUUAGGUUAAGUCCUGCAACGAGCGCAACCCUUAUUAUUAGUUGCCAGCAGGCAAAGCUGGGCACUCUAAUGAGACUGCCGGGGUUAACUCGGAGGAAGGUGGGGAUGACGUCAAAUCAUCAUGCCCCUUAUGUCUGGGGCUACACACGUGCUACAAUGGUGAGAACAAAAAGAUGCAAGACAGCGAUGUGGAGCAAAACUUAUAAAACUCAUCCCAGUUCGGAUUGCAGGCUGAAACCCGCCUGCAUGAAGCUGGAGUUGCUAGUAAUCGCGAAUCAGAAUGUCGCGGUGAAUACGUUCCCGGGCCUU
rnacentral:rRNA from 1 species